rnacentral:rRNA from 1 species
GAGUUUGAUCAUGGCUCAGGACGAACGCUGGCGGCGUGCUUAACACAUGCAAGUCUACGAGAAAAGGGUAGCAAUAUCCUGAGUAAAGUGGCGCACGGGUGAGUAACACGUAGGCAAUCUGCCUUUAGGACGGGGACAACCUCGAGAAAUCGAGGCUAAUACCCGAUAAUGCAGCGGCACCGCAUGGUGACAGUUGUUAAAGGCCCGCAAGGGCGCCUAUUGAUGAGCCUGCGCCCCAUUAGGUAGUUGGUGAGGUAACGGCCCACCAAGCCUUCGAUGGGUAGCUGGUCUGAGAGGAUGAUCAGCCACACUGGAACAGAGACACGGUCCAGACUCCUACGGGAGGCAGCAGUGAGGAAUAUUGCGCAAUGGCCGAAAGGCUGACGCAGCGACGCCGCGUGAAGGAUGAAGUCCGUUAGGAUGUAAACUUCUUUUGCAGGGGAUGAAUGUGGUGCCCUCGGGUGCCAUUGACCGUACCCUGCGAAUAAGGAUCGGCUAACUACGUGCCAGCAGCCGCGGUAAUACGUAGGAUCCGAGCGUUGUCCGGAAUUACUGGGUGUAAAGGGCGUGUAGGUGGAACUUUAAGUCGGUGGUGAAAGCCUGCAGCUUAACUGCAGAACUGCCCUCGAUACUGAAGUUCUUGAGUACGGCAGAGGGAGAUGGAAUUCAUGGUGUAGCGGUGAAAUGUGUAGAUAUCAUGAAGAACACCGGUGGCGAAGGCGAGCUUCUAUCAGAGGACUGACGCUGAGGCGCGAAAGCGUGGGGAGCAAACAGGAUUAGAUACCCUGGUAGUCCACGCCUUAAACGAUGGGUACUAGGUGCUGGGCCG